AAGGGUAUAGCUCAGUGGUAGAGCGUGUGCUUAGCAUGCAUGAGGUCCUGGGUUCAAUCCCCAGCACCUCCA
rnacentral:tRNA from 1 species